AUACACAGAUACACAGAUACACAGCCACACAAGCCUCUUGCCACUAUUUCAAAAUAAAAUACAAAAUAUACAAAUUAAAAUUGUGCAUUCAAGGACCGUCCAGGAAGGGAUGCCCUGUCUCUACACAGCAUAGGAGUAUGUGAAUGAAACAAAAUCGAAGCAACGGAAUUCUGGACCUCAAAAUGUCCAAAUACGGAAAACAGAGUCUCCUCCGUCUCUCCCUGGCGGCCCUGCUUCUGUUUGUGCUGUGCCUGCAGAUAUGUGCCGCCGCCAGAUCGCGUCCCCCCAGACCGACUCCGAGGCCGAAUUGGCGCAAGGGGUACAAGGGAGACGGCACCACCCACGAGCAGUUGGGUCUGGUUCACUUUUCUGAAGCUAAACUUUCCAAGUUCAAUCUGUCGAAUGUGUUGAACUAUACGAAGCAUGAAAACUACACAAGAAAGUUUACUGCUCUUUUCAAAUGGUCGCGAGGCAUUUACGACAAGUUCUUUCCAGUUAAUGUGACUGUACCAAGGGGCUACCUUAGGUUUGUUGGAACGGAGAAGAUGGCGCUGGGACGGAAGGUGGACAGAAACGAUUGGGCGGCCUGGUUCGCCGCAUACUGGCUCUUUUGGCUGUGGGCGAGCAUUAUCGUCGCUCUCAUCGUCCUGAUCCCUUUUUUUGGCGUUUUGUAUUGCUGCUUUUGCUGCUGUCGCUGCAAGCAGGGCUGUCCGCCCUGCGAUAUAGCUGCCAAUAGGAGGAGGCGUUUCAUUUGGGGCACCUGCCUGGCUCUGAUCAUCGUAAUGAUCGGCUUGUGCAUGGCCAUGGCUGUUUACUCGAAUAGCUUGCUGGAACGCGGCCUGGCCAAGACCAAGAGGACCCUGGAAAGGGGUAGCCUGGACACCUGUAAUUUCCUGUACGGUGUCCAGGAGCAUAUAGAGCAUCUGUUUGUGAAAAACUUUGAGGAGCUGGAGACGCAUCUGAUCCAUUUGAUCAUGAAUGCACCUAGGCAUAUAGCCAAGGACUUGAACGAUGCUUCAGGGGCUAAUUCAAUUCAAGAACUCAAAUAUAUAUUUGGCAAUUUCAGAAUCACUGAAUAUUAUACUGACCACAACCAUGAUUUUCAUUCGUUUGUUGCGAUUACCUCCAUAAGACUAAGAGAAGCUUUGCGAGGAGUGAAACGCGACAUAAACUAUGCGGCAACGGUGCUUUGUGGCAGCCAAGAGUGCAUCAAAUUUCUGGGUCGCUCCGAUAUCGAGUUUAUCGACACAUCCAGAUGUCUGCAUCCGGACAAGAUGCCCAGGGUUGAGACAAUACAACAUGGAUUAAGGGCACUUUUUCGGCAUGAGCGUAGACCAGAUGAGGCACUGGCACGACUGCAUGAAAUAACCGUAUUGAUCAAGGAGGAAAUGGAACGCGUCGCUGCACCAAUGAUCCGCGACAUACAGAAGGGAAAGAAGCUCUUUGCCGAUCAGGCAGACCGCAUCAAUGAAAUAAUUGAAGUGGUUAUCAGUGACAUUCAUCUGGCCACACUGCGCUCGACGAGGGCCUUCGACGAUCUGUACGUCCGGUUCGAUCGGACCCGUAACUAUGUGUUAGUGUCCAUCGCUGUCUUUGUGGCUGUGAUACUGGUUGUCCUGAUAAUCGCCUUGGCCUUCGGCUGCUUCGGCAAACGUGUCACUGGAGUGAGAGACAAUGGUAUGAGCCGGAGGAUUGGCUCGCACUUCAUUCUAUUAGCCAUGCUGUUGAUAGUCUGCGUGAUAUCCAUUAUGCUCAUGAUUGGACUGUGCUACUUUUUGAUCGGCGCCGUGGCGUACAAAGGCGCAUGCGCACCACUUACCGAGAAGCAGAGGGCUGCCCGAGAAAGGCUCAUCAGCGAGAUCAAAUUAGAGAGCGAUGUCAGCUCUGUGUUUUCCUCUAGGCGGGACGGCUCCAAGGAUGCCCUCAAGAUAUCGAAUCUUAUCAAUGAGUGCGAAGGCGAAAACAGCAUCUUUAAAUAUCUGCGAGAGAAUCGAAUCUACGACGUGGACGACUUGAUACGAAUCCGCGUCAUGACCCCAAUGGAAGCCGAUUUCUCACUUUUCCAAGAUCUAGAUCUAUCCGAUUUUUUCCUAUUAACACCAAAGGACAUAGACGUGUACACGGCAGCGGCGAACUCGUCCCUCGACCGUGUCCAUCCUGAUCUGUGGUAUGAUAUCCUAUGCUAUGAGUAUGUGGCAAUCGAUUUUGAGAAUCUCCGAAGGGGCCUGAAGAAAUUAGCUCGCUCACUGCCGUGGAAUUACUACCAAGCGGCAAAGGCUGCUUUCGAAAAUGAAUAUGAAAACUUAGAAACAUUUCAUAAGGAAUAUACUCCGUUUCUGGAAGAGAAUGUCGUGGAGGUGUUGCGCUAUGCCAGUUGGAUCCAAAGUCAAAUUGAAUACGAGUACUACAGCUUUGGCGACUCCAUCAGACUCUUGUUAAAAAAUAUUCAGAAUACCGAGAUGUUUAUACGGGACAUGGGCAAGCACUACCUUGCCAAUAUUGGCAAAAAUCUGACCACUGUGGUUCAGCAACAGGUCAACAACUACAUCAAAAUGGUAGUCCAUGAGGCAAACACUAAGGUGGGACACUGCCAGCCACUCACCUACAUAUAUGACUACAGCCUGGACACGGUGUGCAGCGACCUGGUUGACCCCAUAAUCGGCUGCUGGCUGGGCAUAUUGGUGUCUGCCUUCCUUCUGAUAGGCGUACUCUGUAUCGGCCAUCGCCUGCAGUGCCUGUACAAGCAGAUCCAGACGAGGCCCAGGCCGUUCAUCGUGGGACCGACCAAGAGUCACAGCUGUCCGUACUGCAUUAGUCGAUCGGAGAGGCUGGCAGGCGGUGAUCCUGGUGGGUCUGGUGGGUCUGGUGGGGCUGCACAUUGUCCCUGCGGUCUUCAGGACGACUUUGCACGAGCGGCGAUUCUCGACGUGGAGCAGGCGAUUGAAGAAACGACGAAUCAUCCCAUGGAAUUGCCCCUGCCCUUGCCAAUCAGGGAUCCAGAGCCCAGUACAGACGGGAAGAAUAAGUUGGAUUAGCCAAUGGUAGAGAGUCGAAUAUUCGACUAUCCUGUUAUGGCCCCAUCAAAGCCCGUCAAGUCUGCAGGAGAGGAGGAUGAUGGCUGGAAUUUCUUCGAAUCCCGGACUCCCAUUCCUGGACUUAUUUUCAAUGGAAAGCCGGUACAUUUUCUUUGGGAUCAAUUAUGCUUUGCAUGGACACGUUAUUUCGAAAUAUUUACACAAAACUCUUAAAUAUAUUUUAUACAAUAGCAAAAAAAAUUCA
rnacentral:misc_RNA from 1 species